rnacentral:lncRNA from 1 species
CGCGUUUAGAGGAUCAGUGGCGGCGGGCCCGCGCGGUGCCGGCGACUAGCAGCGAGAUGUCCUGGCCCCUUCCAGGUUUGGGAGAAUGGAGAGAGCAAGGUGUAGCUGAUUAGCAAGUUAAUUAUUUCAGUACCCCAAGGGUUCAUGCGUGGUGGAGAUGGCCUUGGGAGAGCAACCUCCGGACCUCAGCAGUGUGAGGAUGACAACAGUACCCUGUGGUGCUGUCCCCACUCAGGGUUUCUCUCUGUAGCCCCGACUGUCCUGGAACUCACUCUGCAGACCAGGCUGUCCUCAAGCUCAGAGAUCUACCUGCCUCUGCCUCUGAAGUACUGGGAUUAAAGAUGCAGAGGCCUCCCAGAGAAGUGUGAAGGAAUGGGCCUUAACCAGGGUUGAAGAAAGAAAGUGAAGAAGGGGAGAGCCCAAGGAAAGGUGGGGACAGUUGGAACUUUUGUUUACACUGGUCUACUACUCAUGUAUCGUAUGCUAUAAUCUCCAAAUUCCACAUUUAUUGUAGCUGUCUGCAGUGUGUAUGCCCCGGCCGCAUGCUGCUUGGCUAAAAAAGUGUUAAAUAAAACUGUAAGAAACGCUA